rnacentral:rRNA from 1 species
CCUACGGGUGGCUGCAGUGAGGAAUAUUGGUCAAUGGAGGAGAGUCUGAACCAGCGAAGUAGCGUGAGUGAUGACUGCCCUCUGGAUUGUAAACUUCUUUUAUAAAGGAGUAAACCGCGGCACGUGUGCCUUUUUGCAUGUACUUUAUGAAUAAGGAUCGGCUAACUCCGUGCCAGAAGCCGCGGUAAUCCGGAGGAUUCGAGCGUUAUCCGGUUUUAUUGGGUUUAAAGGGUGCGUAGGCGGGCAUUUAGGCCGGCGGUCAGAUGUCGGGGCUCAACCCCGGCCUGCCGUCGGAACUGGGGGCCUGGAGUGGGCGAGAAGUAAGCGGAAUGCGUGGUGUAGCGGUGAAAUGCAUAGAUAUCACGCAGAACCCCGAUGGCGAAGGCAGCAUACCGGAG